rnacentral:rRNA from 1 species
UAGGGAAUCUUCCGCAAUGGGCGAAAGCCUGACGGAGCAACGCCGCGUGAGUGAUGAAGGUCUUCGGAUCGUAAAACUCUGUUAUUAGGGAAGAACAAAUGUGUAAGUAACUAUGCACGUCUUGACGGUACCUAAUCAGAAAGCCACGGCUAACUACGUGCCAGCAGCCGCGGUAAUACGUAGGUGGCAAGCGUUAUCCGGAAUUAUUGGGCGUAAAGCGCGCGUAGGCGGUUUUUUAAGUCUGAUGUGAAAGUCCACGGCUCAACCGUGGAGGGUCAUUGGAAACUGGAAAACUUGAGUGCAGAAGAGGAAAGUGGAAUUCCAUGUGUAGCGGUGAAAUGCGCAGAGAUAUGGAGGAACACCAGUGGCGAAGGCGACUUUCUGGUCUGUAACUGACGCUUAUGUGCGAAAGCGUGGGGAUCAAACAGG